rnacentral:rRNA from 1 species
CAGCAGCCACGGGAAUAUGAAGGGGGCUAGCGUUGUUCGGAUUUACUGGGCGUAAAGGGUGCGUAGGCGGAUUGUUAAGUCAGGGGUGAAAUCCCAAGGCUCAACCUUGGAACUGCCUUUGAUACUGGCGAUCUUGAGUCCGGGAGAGGUGAGUGGGACUGCGAGUGUAGAGGUGAAAUUCGUAGAUAUUCGCAAGAACACCAGUGGCGAAGGCGGCUCACUGGCCCGGAACUGACGCUGAGGCACGACAGCGUGGGGAGCAAACAGGAUUAGAGACCCCUGUAGUCCCUGUCUCUUAUAC